GCCCGGCAUGGUGCCGGGUACAAUGCCAACGGCAUUGUAGCCAAACCCUAAACUAAAUAGAUGAGAAGGUGAAUCCGUGCGUGUUAUUAUUAAGCUUCAAUAAAAGUAAGAGAUUUAAAGCAGUUCGGUGGAUUCUAAGAGAGAGAAAAUAAAUUGAUAUGAAAUGAGGAAUAGAAUCCUUUCAUAAUUUGAGUUUUACGAAGUUUUAAAAAAAUUACUAUCAUGUAUUUUUUAGUAACUGAAAUGAAUAAAAUUUAAUUUUUUUAUUUUUAAUUUAUUAAUUACUAAUUAACACUUAAAUUAUUUACUCUAUACAUAAUCAAAUUAAGGGAGAAUCAUGAUCAAGAAAGGGUGGUGUACGUUGUUGUUUUGAAUUAACAUGAUGCAUUCUAAGUUAAACACAGAAGAAAUUAAUUGACAUGAAAUAAACAUAACAUGUCAAAGGAACGUGAAGAUUGGCCGACCACACAGCAUAAAGUUGGCGCAUCACAUGCAACUCCAUAUUUUGCCACCUCGUAAAGACGAUCUCAUUACGUCAAAAAGACGCACACGUUCCCUACUCCGACGUGGCUCACAACUUCUUUCACUUUUUUUUUUUUCCACUUCUGAUGCGAUUAAAUAAAUAUCCAAUUCUACCUCCACCCACGUUGGCUUGUUUCGUUAUUUAAAAUUAUUAUUUAUUAAGGAUGAAGCUAUUUACAUU
rnacentral:lncRNA from 1 species